AUUGAACGCUGGCGGCAUGCCUUACACAUGCAAGUCGAACGGUAACAGGUUAAGCUGACGAGUGGCGAACGGGUGAGUAAUGUAUCGGAACGUGCCCAGUCGUGGGGGAUAACUGCUCGAAAGAGCAGCUAAUACCGCAUACGACCUGAGGGUGAAAGCGGGGGAUCGCAAGACCUCGCGCGAUUGGAGCGGCCGAUAUCAGAUUAGGUAGUUGGUGAGGUAAAGGCUCACCAAGCCGACGAACUGUAGCUGGUCUGAGAGGACGACCAGCCACACUGGGACUGAGACACGGCCCAGACUCCUACGGGAGGCAGCAGUGGGGAAUUUUGGACAAUGGGCGCAAGCCUGAUCCAGCCAUGCCGCGUGCGGGAAGAAGGCCUUCGGGUUGUAAACCGCUUUUGUCAGGGAAGAAAAGGUUCUGGCUAAUACCUGGGCCUCAUGACGGUACCUGAAGAAUAAGCACCGGCUAACUACGUG
rnacentral:rRNA from 1 species